CUAUGCAUACUCACUGGACUCUACUCACACAUACUACACUGACAUUCCAACACACACUACAUACACUCACACAGACAUGCAUAUUGACGCCACUCACACAGACACACUUUCACAAUCUUCACAUACGCAGUUGGUACUCUGUUUAUUAUCUAUCCUGAUUGCCCAGUCACUUUUACCCCUACCUACAUGUAAAUAUUACCUCAACUACCUCAUACCCCUGCACAUUGACUCAGUACUGGUACUCCUUGUAUACAGCCUUGUUAUUUUGUCACUAUUUCCUUUUAUACUUAGCAAAUUUAGGUUACUUUAACUCUGCAUUGUUGGGAAGGGGCUUGUCAGUAAGCAUUUCACGGUAGUCAACACCUAUUUUUAUUUUCUUGAUUUGACAGCAUGAUCAUGUACAAGAUCAUAGUCUUACGAUCUAGUAUUCUGCUCUCUCCUACAGGACAUGUACUGGCUAUGGAAGUCGCCACAGGACAGGCUCAGCUACUAGAGCUUAUGAAAGCAGUGGACGGCACCAUGGAGGAGUUCACCCUUGACACUUUUUACAAGAACAAGUCUGUCCAUCAGCACAGCCGAUGUCCCCCACUGAGUGCACCGUGCCUGCUCCACAUACUCAUUGCUAACCUGCACUGGGAGUCUGGGAUGGAUCAUGUUUAUCUCCCCAUCAUGCUGCGAAGAAGUUAACACACUUGAAUAAUGCGACACGGCAUGUAGAAAUGUUGAAACUGUAACUUAAUGUUCGCAAAACAAUGUCCAUACAGGCUACAAUAACUUUACAAUGCAAUAAGUUACCGGUAGCUUCCAGGUUUGUAGGCUAACUUCCUUGCUAGUUUUCAGCUGCAACUAACAUCAAUGCACAACCCAAGUACUUUGUUUGUGAUGCAAAGCAUGCUAAUAUCAAAGCUUGUUGCCACCAAAAACGCUAUUCAUUCACUUAAUUGAUCUUUCCCUCAGCCAAAGUUUCUAUUACCUCAGCGAACUGAGGGCUCUGUUGCGGUAGGUUCCUUGUUCUUUGUCAAUCAUUGGCUUAUUGGUGAAAUCAGCAAUCAGACAAUAUCUUUAAGUAAAUCAAUCAAACCUUUAUUAAUGCAAUUGCAGACAGAAGUUGACAACGGAAACAUAGCACGCAUGUUUCCGAGUAAGUUCUUCAAAAUAAAAAAAGUCCAAGUUGCUUUAAUAUGCUUGCAGUCAACCCCUAGUGAUGUAACUGCCUACGUCAACACCUUCUACUCAUGAGACGAAGCCCAUGUAUAUACAGUUAUACAAACGUGCAGGAGAGAACAAUAGUAUAUUGUGUUCUAAGGGCUCAGCAGUAAUUUUCCACUCCCGUGUGGCUUACAGUGGUAUUUCUGACUUGACUCUUAUCUAUUCCACUCCCCUGCUGGGUUCUGUGUCUAUGAAUCUCUUUUAGCCUUGAGGUGCUUUCUCACAGACACCCUGUUUUGACUGCAAUAACUCACACAUCUCUCAGACCGUUUCUUAAAAGAGGCAGAGACUAGAAAAGAACUGGAACAGUAUUAAAGCUUAUAAUGCAUAUUGCUAAUCUGUGGUCCAGGACCCUAUAAAAUGUAGUGGGGGGAUGGGGGGGUCUUAUAGCCCUUCCCCUUCUAUUAAUACAACAUAAGCAUAAUCAAUUAUUAUAAUACGUCAAUCAUUUGGUGCAGCCCCUAUCAUGACCCUAAGGUGACCCCAUCAGCUCCGACCAAUAAUUUAUAUAUACACUAGAUGUUGGAGCCACCGUUCCUUCAUCCUGGCACUCUCUCACCAUUGUAAAAGCUAUAGAAAUGCAUUUAUUCAUUUGUUUCUGCGAUGUUUAUUCUAUUACAGACACCUUAAUGCAUACUUUUAAAUUAUUAUGCGUACUAUACAAAUAAAAAUUAUA